rnacentral:lncRNA from 1 species
GAUUGCUUUUCAAUUUUUUUCAAUAUUUAUUAUGAGAUUAUUUUUCUCAAAUCACUGUACAGUUAAAAAGCUGCUUGAGAAAAUGUAUUAUAAUACGGUUACUAUACAAGGGGGUCCUUAUAAUUACUGGAAGGAAUGACAAAAAAUAGAAAUAUUUUGUUGGUCAUACCUACACCUCACUAUGGACACAUGGUACUCCCCAAAACACACCAGUCUACUCAGGAAUACUGUUAUAAUUUUCUAAUAAAAAGAAGGUAUCCACACUAUUCACCUGUCACUGAUUAUAAAAUUCCAUUUAAGCCAUUUUAUUCCAGAAGAAAAAUCACUUAGAAGUAAGAGUUCUGGUUAGCAAUGAAUUAUAUACAAGUCAUUCAGGCACAGUAGUUCAAUCACUUCACUAUUUUUACCCUCCCCCCCCCAAAAAAAAAUAAUGUGUGCCCGUAAUGAGGCAUGAAAAGCUAUUAACUGAACCAUUCACACAUCAAAUGGAUGCUGUUGUCAGUUUGUUCUCUCAAUGGAAAUAAUGAACAACUGAUUUAUUUAUAACUAGUAAUUAUGAUAAUACACCUUCAUUUUCCUUCAUCUCAUUACAGUAGAGAUACAUAGUGAUUAUCUUAUGUCAUACCCAACCUAAAACUAUUUUUGUAACUUUUAUAGAUUUGGCCCCCUCAUUUCAUUUUCCAUUUUGAUUUUUUAUCUUUCCCAUUGAUGGAAUUGAUCCGUACCCUCAACUUAAUAGAGGCUGAAGUGUGAAUUCUAAGUCAGUGGAGAAUAUACGUGUAUAUGUGCAAAAUCACUAUAAAAUGACAUUUCUCAGCAUUUACUUAGUAAGUUCACAUUUUUUUUCCUUUCUGUGAAGAAAAUAAACAGACCCAGAAAGGAAAGAUGAAGGAGGCUAGCUUGCUCUUAGAGAGGCAAGGGGCUCUGGAUGCUGGCUCAGUUGGAAAUGUGCCAGUCACAAAGCCACUAAAGACCUGAGUUCAAAUCUCCAGCUUACGUCUAUAAUUCCAGUGCUGACGGAGAAACAGAACACAGGAAGAUCCAUGAACCUCAGGGGCAAGCCACUCAACCAAGCCAUUGAGCUACGGAUCCCGUGAAAGAACCUUCUUUCAAGCAUAAGAUGGAAAAUAAAUGAGGAAGAGAUAAGGCAUCUAUCUCUGGUCUCCUCUCACACACAGGCACCCAGAGAUAAACGGGUGCACCUACCCACUUGAACACAUGUAUACACCGCAUGAAAAAAAUUAAAAUCUAAUGGAAACACUUUGUUUCAUUGGCAAUACGAUUGUUUAAAAUUUGAGAGCAGAGAAGAACGUGCCUUUUGAACAUUUCUAAUUCUAUAAUAGUUUUUUUCUUGGAUAAAUAUUAAUAUUUUCAAUUCCUGCUACAUAACAUUAUACCUAUACACUGGACUCUGUCUGGACAUGUUCAUGUGGGGUUAGGGGAGCUGUUUCUAUUUAAUAGAAACUUCCAUUUGUAAAAGUAUGUAUCCCUUUCACAGAAAAUCAUUUUUAAGACAGUAAGAACUGCAUUGCAUAACUAUAUCUAAAAAGUUAAAACUCCUGCAAAUAAAUGGUUCUGUUCUAUUCCCAAGGAGGAACAGAGAAACAUCCUAUAUUCUUGCUAUCGUGGUUUAGGAAUCUAACACUGGGUUACAGUCAGCAACUCUACAGUCAGAGAAAACUUCCACUUCCUGGUGGAGUGGCCCAUCUCUCUCAUUUUUCAUGCCUUUUGAAAAAAGAAAGAUUUUUCUCUCCCUAAUUUGACUUGGCUACCCUUAUGCAUCCUUUAUAAUAAGCAGUAUAUAUUAUUUUGAGAAUAUAUGUACAAGCAAAUAAGCUAAGGAUGCCAUUAUCUACAGUCAUUCUUUUCCUUUUAUUGAAAAUAUAUUUUUCAUACAAUAUAUUCUGAUCAGGUUUUCCCUUCCCCUGACUCCUUUCAGAUCCACCCCACCUUGACUUCCAUCCAAACUCAUAAUUCACACAUGUUUUUCUCUCUUUUGUUAGAAAACAAGCAGACAUCUAAAAGAUAAUAAGAUAAAACAAACUACAAAAAAGAAAUAGGACCCCAGAAAAAAAUGAGAAGAAAAAUAACCAAAGAAAAGGCUGAAGAAACACAUAUAGGCACAGAGACACAUACAGGCACACAAACAAAAAUACUAAAAAGAC